AUUUUUAAUUUUUAAUUUUAAAAACAUUAUAUAAUUUGACAAUAUUUUGUUUCUUUUUUAAAAAAAUAUGGAAUAUGAAAUAACACAAUCCUAUUCAUUGGCAAACCUAGAAAUUCACGCUAGGAGUGAACCCCGUCAAUUUCGAAUAAUGUUUCUUAAAAUUGGUAUUCACCAUCACCACAAAUAAUUACACACAUACCUAUUAAUCAUAUAAGUUUCUCUUUUGAUCAUCUACUAUUUUUUCCGUUCGUUUACAUGAACUUUUCAAAAACUAGCCUUGAGCAAACCUUUUUGAACCUAGACUUCAACUUCGCGUUCCUCCCACGAUACCCGACAACUCGCACCAUUAGUAAGAAAAUGACAGUCUCAACAAACAUAGACCACAAUCUGAUAACUCCAUGACAUAGACCGACGAUGUUUUUGACUAUCAAAUGUUUGUCUUUUAUGUGUAAUUUUCAGUGGCUAAUAAUGUCGAGUUCUAAAAUAAUACUAAUUAAGAAUCAUUUCGAAGAAACUGAUUUUUUAUUUACCUAGUUACUAACCAUGCCCCCAUGCAUUGAUACGUCAUAUUUUGGUUUCGAAUGACACGAAGCGCCACGCACCGCACCGCUGUGAAUAGUAACAAAAACAUCUACAUAUAUCUAUGCAUCUAUAUAUUUUUGUUACUAUUACAACCGUACCGCAGUUGUCCUGCACGUCACCAUUCGGUCCUUUGCUGUUGUUUGUUUUUAAGUUUCUCACUAAUUUCUUACGAAUUAAUUGUUAUUUUUAAUCAAAUUAAUUUGUAUAUAAACUUCUGACAAAACUAUGUGGUUCCAUUGUACCUGACAUGACCUAGUAAAUUGAAAUGAGGAUGUUGAAUAAAAAUUCUACACAAUAUUUCACAAGCACAUAGUAUAUAAUUUAUAGGAUAAUCUUAACAUAACGUUUUCAUUUCUUUGCGAUGCUGCAGAAUACAAAUAGAUAAGACUAAUUGCAGGGCGUGGUGAGCCAACAACUUUCGCCCCACAUCUCUUAACAUAAUUAUAAUAAGUCAAUUUUUAGGUUUAGAUUUUGGUGUUUUCCAUUUGGACAUUUGUCACAUGCAUCAUGAGUGCCACUUUAUCAAAACUAAUAUUCUUGUACUAACUAGUAAUCCCCUAAUUAAGAAUCAAUUCGACUUAAUAUUUGUGUGAUUGUUUUUUAUUUUAAAAAUAUGAAUUCAUAUGGCGUCCCAAAUGGAGAUCACUAAACUACGAGGUCCAAGAUUGCUUACUUAUCGGUGUGAAAAUAUAUAAGUAGGCAUGCAUUUUUUUCUGAUCGAUUUCUUUGCUGAAAAUGAAAAAGAAGAAAAGUUUCGCUUGUUUGUGUUUUUAGCAUCAACAUUUCCUGCCCAGCCAAGACAAUGAGAUUAUUACUCUACACCCAAAACUAUUAUUCAAAUGCUUGCAUCAUGUUUAAUCGUUUCGUGCUAUGGCAUCUUUUACUUGAAUGAUCUAGUUGAAGUCAAGUUUUACGGUGAGGAAGACAUGGCAAAUGAAGUCUCUUUGUUAUCUUGCUUUGAAGCUUCUUUAGCAGAAAAGCCUCCCCGGUCAUUUGAUAUGUAGUGGUGUCCUGGCUAUAAAGAACACAAGCAAGGGAACAAGAAGCCAGAGUUAUGAAAGUUGCAAGAUAUUAUUGUUCUCCACUUGAAAAGGUUCACGGAUAUCAACAAGAUUGAUACUAUUUUAAGCUUCAUUGUCGUCUCAUUUUUUUAUUAUUAAGUUAGAGUGGUAUAAAGAGUAUGCAAGGGUGAGCAUUUGAGAUCAAAACCGAACCACAUAGUGUAGAAAUUUUGUUGUAACUGAAUUGAUCUUUAUUUAAUCGAUUUUACUGAAUUUUUAUUCAACUAUAACUUUUGAUUCUUAAUGUGAGCCAUAGAGUGAGAAAUGGAUAGAAACAGAAACAAAGAAAAAAACAAGCAAAAUGAAUAACUUGCGAAGGAUGAGUCUCCAAAAGAGCUUUCCAUGAGAGUUUGUUUUUGGUGAAGGACUUCAGAGAAUGAUUUAGAAGAUUGAAGCAAUUUCUUUUUGGUCUUGGGUUUUGACUUAUUACAACUGAGUGGUUUGGGCUUUGACCUUAUUUCAUUGUUUUGGGCUAGUAUAUUGAUUGUGUAUUUGCUUUUUCUUCUUCGUUUUUCUUCAUUGUGCUCACAUUCCAAUUGGAUUUGGGUGAUAAGUUUUCCCCUAAAGAACUAUUUUUUGACAACAAAAAAACAUUAAUUGAUCUAAUUCUAACACUGAAGUUUUUAUUCUACUGGCAAAAAACUUCCAUGAAUGAAGUUUUUAGAAAGUAGGCCCAGCCCACCAUGCACGCUCGUGUUAGUGAGAUUUUCAAAACAGUAGACCAUCGUUAACCAGGGAGCUCAGGGGGAGAGUGCUUAAAAAAAAUAUUAAACAAAUGAGUGGAUCCCAGGAAAAAUCUAAGCAGCAGCGUUUCUGAUGCUUGUUUAAGCGUCACUAUUCGUUUUGACUGCGGGUUCCACCGAUACGUGGCGGUCCGCAUUUGAUUUUUUUUUAAUAAAAAAAAAAUUAAAAAAAAUAAUUAAGCACCCCUAAUGGAUUGCUAGGGUUAAUGAUGGUCUUACACACACAAGUCAAUAAAUCGAUCAAAUCUUUUAUUUUACCAAACCGUUAGCCAAUCAAAUACAAAUACUCAAAUAGUAACCUAAAUCAUUGUGUCCACAUUAGUUGUAUUCGCACAUUUCAACGACGUAGUAUUCUUAUACGCAUAGACAGACAUCAAAACUAUACUAAAAGCAACUAAUGAAGACCUCUUACUGUAUCCACCUCAGACAGGAAAUUCGACCAAUAGAGAUGAAGCAUUCUUCCACGUCAUUUAGUAAUGGCUUUGGGUUGGGCUUUUGUUCAGACAAACUUGCUUUCGGUUGGGCUUAGUUUGUUUAGAAGCCAUCAUCAUCUUCGCUACCACUUCGUCUUCUUCCCUCUGAUCCCGUAGAAACCGAUCCCCCUCUACACAAUCAAUCCCAUCCUUGACUUUGAUCAAUCAAUUUCGUCUUGAUGAUUUCGUUUCAGCUCCCUCUGUUCCUCCUUCUUUAUAUACUGAUCCUCUUUUCUUUGUACAAACCCAAACCCUGUUUAUAUGAUCAUUUUUCACUGAUUUAAAUCUCAGCUUUCUGUCGGCAAAUGUCCCGUCGCCUUCCAUUUCAACGACGUCUCACCAGGACCUGCCGAGUCAGAGCUUCGAUUUUGGCUAAUCCAGUUGUGGGAUGGAUCCUUAGAACCAGGGGAGGGGGGUCUAGGUUCCUGCUUUGAAAGAAUCGGUUUCACGUAUUCUAGAUUGUUAAGAGUUCUGGCGUUUUCUUCAAGUAUGCUGCAUCCGGUUAAGCUCAUGAUCUGAAUGAUACCUAGUUUACUAAACUGGAUGAGCUCUUCACUCAGACCCAACUCUACUCUGAAUUUCUUCUUGAGAAAAUGGAGGAUAUCACAAAAAAUGGGACAGAAGGUGAGACCCAAAAAGCUGAGCCCGAGAAGAAAGGAGGUCGUGGACGCAAAAGAAAUGCUGCUACUCAGGUAAGCCAGUAUGCUGUGGAGAUGAGAUGGGUUGAUACAUAUUUUCCAUUUACUGAGCUUUCGAGCUUGAGAUAUAUUUUUAAGGAAGACUGGUGAGAAGUUUCGGGCUGUGGGGUGACAGAACAAAGAAUUUUGAAGCAUAGUGGAUUAGAAAAUAAUGCUGCUUGGGACUUUGGACUUGGACUUAAUAGAAAGACUC